rnacentral:lncRNA from 1 species
AGGGGAGGUGCGGCUCGGCUUCCGGGCCUGGCGAGGGACCGCGGCGUGGGUCGGUGAGGUCGCGGCACCGUCCGGCGGGCCGUGAGCGAUCGGCUCGGGUGUCCUUUUAACUCCGUUGGGACCCAUAGAGAGGGCGACGCUGAGGGAGGCGGCGCAGUGUUCCCAAGGUCUCCCGGCGCGGUGUGGACUCGGAUUCCGAGCACCCUCCACCUGAAAUAGCCACUGCGGGUUCCCUGGGGCCUUUUUUCCUCCGCUGGAGUCCCCAAAGUUCCCAGACUAUCACCUGUGCCCUGGAGGCCAGGACCCUCCCUCCUAGACCAUAGGUCGGAGUAGAGCCAAGCUCUCUGGGUCUCUGUUCCGGGCUGCCGCCCACCAGUCGCGCGCGGAGGGGGUUGACACCCGGCACCCUCGCGCCCCUCUUCACCUUCCUCAGGUAGGCUUUCACAAGUUUCAUUCUUCUCCAGGAAGACCCAAAGAAACGUCCACGUGGCCUGGAGAGCUAGGGAAAGACAAGGAUUUCCUAAAAUUCCUUUUUAGCUUUUGGAAAAUGAAAUCGUUCCCUUCUUUUGCUCGAUUGCCUUGUCCGUGGUGGGUUCGGUCCACCCUGCCUCUGGAGGGGCGCCCGCUCUUCCUUGGAGCCCUCUGCUGACAGUUCCUCUCUGCCCCACCCGUGACUUAAUCCACCAAGAAAUCAGCUGUUCGCGCCCUUGGAGGUUCAGAGUAACAAUGCAAAGGGGUCCCUGCGUAAGUGUCCAGGGAUGCUUGCUCUAUGCCAGGGGCAGGUCCCAGGGGCUUGGAGAUGAGAAAACAAGGAAGACUUCGGGAUGAGAGACCGCCUGAGCUUCCCUGAGGGAGUAGGUGAGAGGAGGAGCUGGCGAAAGGCGGGCCAGUGGGAAGGGAGCAGGAAGUGAGGUCAGAGCACCAGGGGCUUGGUCACUGGGUGAGUGGCCCUGGCCGCAGUGAGGGAGGUUUUCAAAAGAAAAAUGGUCUUGUAUCAGGCUGAUUUUCCAUGCAUAUAGGCAGGGGUGCCAUCUGGCAUACAGAUGUUCAGUAUGGCCAGCCUUCAGGUUCGUAUUUGAAAGAGUUCUCAGCAUUUAAUAACUAGGAGUUUCCAUCUAAAAAUCUGGAUUGCCUGCUUUCUAAAAAGACUCCUUGCCUCUUUUAUCAAUCUCUUUUUUUUCUCUAUGGUACUUCCCACCCACUCUAUCCCACUCCCUACCUCAUCUGGAAUACCUUGCCUCCUCUUCUUCCUUGACUUCUAAAUCCUGUCCAUCCUUCAAGUCCAGAUUCUCAGUUCUCUUUCCUGAAACCUUCCCUGAUUUAUCCUAUGGUGACUUCUUGUGAUUCCUCUGACCCUGGCUGUACCCGGGAGUUUUGAAAAAUAUAAUGCCUGAACACCACCCUCAGGUGGAGCCCUGGCAUCAUCUGUAAUAAAGCUGCUUUCACUCAAGGGAAGGUGUCACCUGAUAAUGUAGAGGACAGAUUCUGUUUUGGAAAGGAAAUUUUGGGUAGCCCAAUGGCUCAGCGGUUUAGUGCUGCCUUUGGCCCAGGGCGUGAUCCUGAAGACCCGGGAUCGAGUCCCACGUCAGGCUCCCUGCAUGGAGCCUGCUUCUCCCUCUCUCUCUCUCUCUCUCUCCCUCUCUCUUUCUGUGUCUCUAAUAAAUAAAUAAAAAUCUUAAAAAAAAAAAAAAAAAA